CUUAUUGGGCUCCUGUCUGCAGGAUUUACGCGCACGUUGGAACCGAAGAGAGCUCUGUUGUUGCAAUGUUCAGCCCACAAGAGCUUACUGGUGAAGGAAUGGGACAAGACCCAUCUUUAUGCAAAGCCAGCGUUACAGUAAUGUUCCAGCAUCUCAUAAUCUAUCCUGGGGAAUUCAGCUGCCUCCCAGGGUGAAUACAGGUAAUUAUCCAAAUUGGUGUAUGUCAUCUUUGUAAAUGUUCAAGAAAACAAGUGGCCGGCGGAACAAUGUUUUUUGGCGCCUUCCAUCUUGUUCCUCUUGAAAUGAUUUUCUGGGGAGGGAGAUCGCAACCCGGUACUACAGUUCUUGUAAGGGUGUGCUGUUACCCUCAUCCAUAUAUCGAUCACGUUACUGUCAGAUGAUUUGAAUUGAUAAGCUGAUGUUCUGUGAGGUACAAAAGUUAAUAGCAUGUUAGAGUUCUGAUGGCAGUUGUUGUUUAUGAAUAAGCUUCAUUCCAUCCUAAUACCUUAAAAUAACUAAUUUGCUUUCCUUUCCAGGUAUUCCUGAUGACAGUCUGCCUCUAUCUUACAGUAAGUUGUUUUUCGAAUUCUAUGGGCCUAUUAUCUAAUAGAUAACUUAGCCAUUUUGAUAUUUGUUACCAAAGCCU
rnacentral:lncRNA from 1 species